CUGGCUCUCACCCGGUGGCAAAAAAUCUUGCUGGGGCCUCCAAAUGUUGUAACUGAGCUAGGUACAGAGAAAUGCCACACUCUGAGACGAAUUCAGGAGUCCUUUAUUAG
rnacentral:pre_miRNA from 15 species